GUUCGAUGGUCCUUCAAGUGACCAGUAAUGGCGAACGGGUGAGUAACACGUGGGCAAUCUGCCCUGCACUCUGGACAAGCCCUGGAAACGGGGUCUAAUACCGGAUACUGACCCGCCUGGGCAUCCAGGCGGUUCGAAAGCUCCGGCGGUGCAGGAUGAGCCCGCGGCCUAUCACCUUGUUGGUGAGGUAACGGCUCACCAAGGCGACAACGGGUAGCCGGCCUGAGAGGGCGACCGGCCACACUGGGACUGAGACACGGCCCAAACUCCUACGGGAGGCAGCAGGGGGGAAUAUUGCACAAGGGGCGAAAGCCUGAUGCACCGACCCCGCGUGAGGGAUGACGGCCUUCGGGUUGUAAACCUCUUUCAGCAGGGAAGAAGCGAAAGUGACGGUCCCUGCAAAAAAAGCGCCGGCUAACUACGUGCCAGCAGCCGCGGUAAUACGUAGGGCGCGAGCGUUGUCCGGAAUUAUUGGGCGUAAAGAGCUCGUAGGCGGCUUGUCGCGUCGGUUGUGAAAGCCCGGGGCUUAACCCCGGGUCUGCAUUCGAUACGGGCAGGCUAGAGUUCGGUAGGGGAGAUCGGAAUUCCUGGUGUAGCGGUGAAAUGCGCAAAUAUCAGGAGGAACACCGGUGGCGAAGGCGGAUCUCUGGGCCGAUACUGACGCUGAGGAGCGAAAGCGUGGGGAGCGAACAGGAUUAGAUACCCUGGUAGUCCACGCCGUAAACGGUGGGCACUAGGUGUGGGCGACAUUCCACGUCGUCCGUGCCGCAGCUAACGCAUUAAGUGCCCCGCCUGGGGAGUACGGCCGCAAGGCUAAAACUCAAAGGAAUUGACGGGGGCCCGCACAACGGCGGACAUGUGGCUUAAUUCGACGCAACGCGAGACUUACCAAGGCUUGACAUACACCGGAACUCU
rnacentral:rRNA from 1 species